GACGAACGCUGGCGGCGUGCUUAACACAUGCAAGUCGAACGGUGAUGACAGGGCUUGCUCUGUCUGAUCAGUGGCGAACGGGUGAGUAACACGUGAGCAACCUGCCCCUGACUCUGGGAUAACGACCGGAAACGGUCGCUAAUACCGGAUAUGAGACGUACAGGCAUCUGUUGCGUCUGGAAAGUUUUUCGGUCAGGGCUGGGCUCGCGGCCUAUCAGCUUGUUGGUGGGGUAACGGCCUACCAAGGCGACGACGGGUAGCCGGCCUGAGAGGGCGACCGGCCACACUGGGACUGAGACACGGCCCAGACUCCUACGGGAGGCAGCAGUGGGGAAUAGUGCACAAUGGGCGCAAGCCUGAUGCAGCGACGCCGCGUGAGGGAUGACGGCCUUCGGGUUGUAAACCUCUUUCAGCAGGGAAGAAGCGCAAGUGACGGUACCUGCAGAAGAAGCGCCGGCUAACUACGUGCCAGCAGCCGCAGUAACAC
rnacentral:rRNA from 1 species